CCCACACCAUCAAUGCAUUCAUUCACAUUUUCUUCCGCAUUUAACACUACACUGCAUAUGGGCAAAAAUUACAAAUGCAGACAUAUAGAUUUUAACUGCAGUUAAAAGCCACUUGGUCCAUCUAGAUUGCCAAUAUCUUAGCAAAAAACACAGGCUUUAGUCUUGAUGCUGACAACAGCAGUGUGUCCAUCCCAAGAUGUCU